CUAACACAUGCAAGUCGAACGGUAACAGGAAGCAGCUUGCUGCUUCGCUGACGAGUGGCGGACGGGUGAGUAAUGUCUGGGAAGCUGCCUGAUGGGGGGGGAUAACUACUGGAAACGGUAGCUAAUACCGCAUAAUGUCGCAAGACCAAAGAGGGGGACCUUCGGGCCUCUUGCCAUCGGAUGUGCCCAGAUGGGAUUAGCUUGUUGGUGGGGUAACGGCUCACCAAGGCGACGAUCCCUAGCUGGUCUGAGAGGAUGACCAGCCACACUGGAACUGAGACACGGUCCAGACUCCUACGGGAGGCAGCAGUGGGGAAUAUUGCACAAUGGGCGCAAGCCUGAUGCAGCCAUGCCGCGUGUAUGAAGAAGGCCUUCGGGUUGUAAAGUACUUUCAGCGGGGAGGAAGGGAGUAAAGUUAAUACCUUUGCUCAUUGACGUUACCCGCAGAAGAAGCACCGGCUAACUCCGUGCCAGCAGCCGCGGUAAUACGGAGGGUGCAAGCGUUAAUCGGAAUUACUGGGCGUAAAGCGCACGCAGGCGGUUUGUUAAGUCAGAUGUGAAAUCCCCGGGCUCAACCUGGGAACUGCAUCUGAUACUGGCAAGCUUGAGUCUCGUAGAGGGGGGUAGAAUUCCAGGUGUAGCGGUGAAAUGCGUAGAGACCUGGAGGAAUACCGGUGGCGAAGGCGGCCCCCUGGACGAAGACUGACGCUCAGGUGCGAAAGCGUGGGGAGCAAACAGGAUUAGAUACCCUGGUAGUCCACGCCGUAAACGAUGUCGACUUGGAGGUUGUGCCCUUGAGGCGUGGCUUCCGGAGCUAACGCGUUAAGUCGACCGCCUGGGGAGUACGGCCGCAAGGUUAAAACUCAAAUGAAUUGACGGGGGCCCGCACAAGCGGUGGAGCAUGUGGUUUAAUUCGAUGCAACGCGAAGAACCUUACCUGGUCUUGACAUCCACGGAAGUUUUCAGAGAUGAGAAUGUGCCUUCGGGAACCGUGAGACAGGUGCUGCAUGGCUGUCGUCAGCUCGUGUUGUGAAAUGUUGGGUUAAGUCCCGCAACGAGCGCAACCCUUAUCCUUUGUUGCCAGCGGUCCGGCCGGGAACUCAAAGGAGACUGCCAGUGAUAAACUGGAGGAAGGUGGGGAUGACGUCAAGUCAUCAUGGCCCUUACGACCAGGGCUACACACGUGCUACAAUGGCGCAUACAAAGAGAAGCGACCUCGCGAGAGCAAGCGGACCUCAUAAAGUGCGUCGUAGUCCGGAUUGGAGUCUGCAACUCGACUCCAUGAAGUCGGAAUCGCUAGUAAUCGUGGAUCAGAAUGCCACGGUGAAUACGUUCCCGGGCCUUGUACACACCGCCGUCACACCAUGGGAGUGGGUUGCAAAAGAAGUAGGUAGCUUAACCUUCGGGAGGGCGCUUACCACUUUGUGAUUCAUGACUGGGGUGAAGUCGGAACAAGGUAACCGUAGGGGAACCUGCGGUUG
rnacentral:rRNA from 1 species